rnacentral:lncRNA from 1 species
AAUUGCAAACAAAUCUGUUGUUGCCCUUCCCUUAGUCUCUUGAUGAAAUCUGACAAAACUUAAUCCUUAAAUUAAACAAUUCCCACGCAGUCCUCUUCACUAGAAAUCCCCAAUUACCCUCCAACACCACGGGUGGUUUAGAGGGCUCCCUGCACAUCAGAGUCUAAGACAGCUACAGGUCAGCAGCACCGAGAAUGAAAUACAGGUUGAAGGCUUAUUUCUUUUAACAACCCAGCAGGAUAUACAGGUUUAUCUGAGCACUCGGAUUUUUGCAGUGCAAAGCCCUAACAGAACACCUUCUUGGACCAUCAACUUCGUCUGCAUAACAACUUCCUCGGUUACCAACCUGCUGAGAAGUAUUAUCUCAAAGUUGUUCAAAUUUCUCAGGCAUUUGUGAGAGAGUAAAACCAGUAAUUACAACAAAAAAGACUUCGACAAACUAUUAUUUCAGGAGGAACCAAUGGCAUUGAGAUCACACUGAAUUCUAUACUGGCAAAGUAGAAAUAGUACCGCACGGUGUGUUCUGCUGGCAGGAGAGAUUUCAGAGGUUAGCGUCUUACUUUUAUCAAGUAAUCAAUGGUUUCAGAAUAAUCCUGUGAUUAUGCCUAUCGUGGCUUCCAGUGAGUAACCCCCUCCUCGGGGCAGGGCAGGGCCGGUACGAGAGGAGCUGCUGCCGCGCGGCUCCUGAGAGCAUUCCCUAAGGAACGGGCCACCUUCCGCCUGCCACACUCGAGGAAGCGAAACUCCGGCCUCGCUCGGCCCGCGCCCGCAUCACCGAGGGCAGGAACCGUCGGCCACGGCCUCCUGCGGACCGUCCCGGGACCGGGACCGCGCCGCUCGGGACACCGCUGGCCCGCAACGCCCCAACCUGCUCCCGGUGUUCAGGGGGCUCCUGCGGGGCGGGGCCGGAGCAUUGGAGCACUGGGAGCGGCCCGGGGAGGGCAGCGCUCGGGCCCGGCAGCAAACCGCCCCCCCCCGCCGCCCCGCUCUGCCCUGCCCGCUGCCCCGCCAGGCUCCGGGCUGAGCGGCACAGCCCUUACCGUGCCGAGCCGUGCCCACCAGCCCUCUUCUCUUCUCCGCUUCUCUCCGCUCGCCCGGGUGCAGCCACCGUCAGCAGGAUCGGGUAUUUCAGACAAAAUACAAGAACAAUAAAAUGAUCAACAAAACUUUCAAGUACAAGAUUCGGUGAGUUUAG